rnacentral:rRNA from 1 species
AUUGAACGCUGGCGGCAGGCCUAACACAUGCAAGUCGAGCGAGCGGCGGACGGGUGAGUAAUGUAUGGGAACUGCCUGAUCGUUGGGGAUAACUACUGGAAACGGUAGCUCAUACCGCAUACUAUCGGAUAACCCAUAGGGGAUUAGCUAGUAGGUGGGGUAAUGGCCCACCUAGGCGACGAUCCCUAGCUGGUCUGAGAGGAUGAGCAGCAACAAUGGAACUGAGACACGGCCCAGACUAAUACGGAGGCAGUGGUGGGGAAUAUUGUAAGAUGGGAGCAAGCCUGAUGCAGCCAUGCCGCGUGUAUGAAGAAGGGACUAGGGUUGUAAAGUACUUUCAGUCGGGAGGCGUUACCUGCAGAAGAAGCGCCGGCUAACUACGUGCCAGCCGCCGCGGUAAUUC